rnacentral:rRNA from 1 species
UGGGGAAUAUUGGACAAUGGGCGAAAGCCUGAUCCAGCCAUGCCGCGUGUGUGAAGAAGGUCUUCGGAUUGUAAAGCACUUUAAGUUGGGAGGAAGGGCAUUAACCUAAUACGUUAGUGUUUUGACGUUACCGACAGAAUAAGCACCGGCUAACUCUGUGCCAGCAGCCGCGGUAAUACAGAGGGUGCAAGCGUUAAUCGGAAUUACUGGGCGUAAAGCGCGCGUAGGUGGCUUGUUAAGUUGGAUGUGAAAUCCCCGGGCUCAACCUGGGAACUGCAUUCAAAACUGACUGACUAGAGUAUGGUAGAGGGUGGUGGAAUUUCCUGUGUAGCGGUGAAAUGCGUAGAUAUAGGAAGGAACACCAGUGGCGAAGGCGACCACCUGGACUAAUACUGACACUGAGGUGCGAAAGCGUGGGGAGCAAACA